rnacentral:rRNA from 1 species
AGAGUUUGAUCAUGGCUCAGGACGAACGCUGGCGGCGUUAACACAUGCAAGUCGAACGAAGCCUAGAGGGCUUGCUCUUUAGGCUUAGUGGCGAACGGGUGCGUAACACGUGAGGAACGUAACCAUCGGCGGGGGAUAGCCGGCCCAACGCGGGUAAUACCGCGUACGACCUUCGGGCGGCAUCGUCUGGAGGUGAAAGCAGCAAUGCACCGAUGGAGCGCCUCGGGGCCUAUCAGCUAGUUGGCGGGGUAAUGGCCCACCAAGGCUACGACGGGUAGCUGGUCCGAGAGGAUGGCCAGCCACAUUGGGACUGAGACACGGCCCAGACUCCUACGGGAGGCAGCAGUGGGGAAUCUUGCGCAAUGGGCGAAAGCCUGACGCAGCGACGCCGCGUGUGGGAUGACGGCCUUCGGGUUGUAAACCACUGUCGGGAGGGACGAAGCUCUGACGGUACCUCCAAAGGAAGCACCGGCUAACUCUGUGCCAGCAGCCGCGGUAAUACAGAGGGUGCGAGCGUUGUCCGGAAUCACUGGGCGUAAAGGGCGCGUAGGCGGCUGGGUAAGUAGGGGGUGAAAUUCCGCGGCUCAACCGCGGAACUGCCUUCUAAACUGCCCGGCUCGAGCGCGGUAGAGGCUGGUGGAAUUCCCGGUGUAGCGGUGGAAUGCAGAGAUCGGGAGGAACAUCGGUGGCGAAGGCGGCCAGCUGGGCCGUNNCUGAGCUGAGGCGCGAAAGCGUGGGGAGCAAACAGGAUUAGAUACCCUAGUAGUCC